UCCCAAGAUGGUGUAGUCACUGACGGG
rnacentral:piRNA from 1 species